rnacentral:rRNA from 1 species
AGAGUUUGAUCCUGGCUCAGAACGAACGCUGGCGGCAGGCCUAACACAUGCAAGUCGAACGCUCCAGCAAUGGAGAGUGGCAGACGGGUGAGUAACGCGUGGGAACCUACCCUUUGGUUCGGAAUAGCCCAGGGAAACUUGGGGUAAUACCGGAUACGCCCUUCGGGGGAAAGAUUUAUCGCCAUAGGAUGGGCCCGCGUCGGAUUAGCUAGUUGGUGGGGUAACGGCCUACCAAGGCUACGAUCCGUAGCUGGUCUGAGAGGAUGAUCAGCCACACUGGGACUGAGACACGGCCCAGACUCCUACGGGAGGCAGCAGUGGGGAAUAUUGGACAAUGGGCGCAAGCCUGAUCCAGCCAUGCCGCGUGAGUGACGAAGGUCUUCGGAUUGUAAAGCUCUUUUGGCGGGGAAGAUAAUGACGGUACCCGCAGAAUAAGCCCCGGCUAACUUCGUGCCAGCCGCCGCGGUAAUAC